rnacentral:tRNA from 1 species
UAGCUCAGUCAGUUGAGCAUGGCGCUAACAAUGCCAAGAUUGCGGGUUCGAUUCCUGU